UUCAGAACCCCAACUGAGCAAGAGAGCAAGUUGCUGUCAAGUGAAAAAUGAUAAGAAUUUACAGUAAUUCAUAGAACAUAUAUAGCCCUAUAAUUGACAAUAACACUUCCCAGUUCAGCCACUCCAAGAAGGCCUAAAAGACAUGCAAAUAGGGGGAUUGAUCCUGAAAAUUGAGAGGAUAGCUGAUGGUAUUGUCCAGAGUCCAUCACCACAUAUCAAACCUGAAGCAACUGCACCUGCAUAAUCCUCUGAAUCCUUCUUAUUUCUUCUUUCCCAAAAAUAUGAUAUCAAUGUCCCAACAAACAUGUCAAUGGCAAAGUUAGCUCCUACGAAAAUUGGGAUGGACAUUGCCAUUGGAAUAGGAAUAUAUCUAAAUAUUUUCAAGGGAAUUACAUCCCUCAGAAUGUUCAUAACCAGAGCCAAGAUAAAGAAACUGCAAAAUAUACAUAGGGAGUACUUAGGCAGCUCAGAGAAGCCCUCAAUGCCAAGAAUUGCCAUUUGUCUGAACAGAAUUGCAUAUGGAGCACUGUAAGGUCCAUGAGGGGAUCCAACGUCAAAAGCAGUCCAAAACAACCAGAAGGUUAAUGGGGCAACAACACAACCUAUUGCUGUGCCUGCUAACUGGCUCACAAACAUAGCAUUUGGAGAAGAUAGAGUAAGAUAACCUGUCCUGAAAUCUUGCAUGAGAUCAGCUGCAGUAGAGGCACUGGUUACAAUAACACCACAGGCUGCCAAGCCAGCUAUUACUCCGCCAUUCCUUCCAACUAAUGAAGCAAUAAUGAAAAUGCCAAUUUUUCCGUAGGUCGAGAGCAUGCUCAUGUCAGUGAGCCCAGUGCCAUAGGAGUUGCAGAAGGCAAGGAUGGGCGCAAUAAUACAAGAGAUGAGAACUACAUACCACUUAAGUGGUGGAAAGAUGAAUGGUAAUGUCGCUGCUGAAACUGUAGCCACAAUUAUGAAUCCACCAGCCGCAAACCAAGAGGGAAUUCUCUCUUUGAGGAAUACCUCUUUUCUUAGCUUUUGUUCCAUAUCUAGUUUAUAGUUCUCAUAGAUAGGAAGGUCAUCCUGCACAGUGCCAUUGUGCAUUGUCUUCAGAGUAACUGCUAUUAUCUUGAUCAAAUUGUAAAGG
rnacentral:misc_RNA from 1 species